UGGGGAAUAUUGCACAAUGGACGGAAGUCUGAUGCAGCGACGCCGCGGGGGGGAAGAAGGCUUUCGGGUUGUAAACUCCUUUCAGUACAGAAGAAGCUUUAUUGUGACGGUAUGUGCAGAAGAAGCGCCGGCUAACUACGUGCCAGCGGCCGCGGUAAUACGUAGGGCGCGAGCGUUGUCCGGAAUUAUUGGGCGUAAAGAGCUCGUAGGCGGUUUGUCGCGUCUGCUGUGAAAGACCUGGGGUUAACUCCGGGGCUGCAGUGGGUACGGGCAGGCUGGAGUGCGGUAGGGGUAACCGGAAUUCCUGGUGUAGCGGUGGAAUGCGCAGGUAUCAGGAGGAACACCGAUGGCGAAGGCAGGUUACUGGGCCGUUACUGACGCUGAGGAGCGAAAGAAUGGGGGGCGAACAGG
rnacentral:rRNA from 1 species